rnacentral:rRNA from 1 species
UACGUAGGGGGCAAGCGUUGUCCGGAAUCAUUGGGCGUAAAGAGCGUGUAGGCGGCCCGAUAAGUCCGCCGUGAAAGUCCAGGGCUCAACCCUGGGAUGCCGGUCGAUACUGCCGGACUAGAGUUCGGAAGAGGCGAGUGGAAUUCCCGGUGUAGCGGUGAAAUGCGCAGAUAUCGGGAGGAACACCUAUGGCGAAGGCAGCUCGCUGGGACGUUACUGACGCUGAGACGCGAAAGCGUGGGGAGCAAACAGG